rnacentral:rRNA from 1 species
GAUGAACGCUGGCGGCGUGCUUAACGCAUGCAAGUCGAACGGAAAGGCCCCAGCUUGCUGGGGUACUCGAGUGGCGAACGGGUGAGUAACACGUGGGUGAUCUGCCCUGCACUUUGGGAUAAGCUUGGGAAACUGGGUCUAAUACCGAAUAUGACCACUUCUUGGAUGGUGUGGUGGAAAGCUUUUGCGGUGUGUGGAUGAGCCUGCGGCCUAUCAGCUUGUUGGUGGGGUAAUGGCCUACCAAGGCGGCGACGGGUAUCCGGCCUGAGAGGGGGUACGGACACAUUGGGACGGAGAUACGGCCCAGACUCCCACGGGAGGCAGCAGUGGGGAAUAUUGCACAAUGGGCGAAAGCCUGAUGCAGCGACGCCGCGUGGGGGAUGAAGGCCUUCGGGUUGUAAACUCCUUUCGCUAUCGACGAAGCCACUUGUGGUGACGGUAGGUAGAUAAGAAGCACCGGCUAACUACGUGCCAGCCGCCGCAGUAA